UGAACGCUGGCGGCGUGCUUAACACAUGCAAGUCGAACGGUGAACACGGAGCUUGCUCUGUGGGAUCAGUGGCGAACGGGUGAGUAACACGUGAGCAACCUGCCCCUGACUCUGGGAUAAGCGCUGGAAACGGCGUCUAAUACUGGAUACGAGUAGCGAUCGCAUGGUCAGCUACUGGAAAGAUUUUUUGGUUGGGGAUGGGCUCGCGGCCUAUCAGCUUGUUGGUGAGGUAAUGGCUCACCAAGGCGUCGACGGGUAGCCGGCCUGAGAGGGUGACCGGCCACACUGGGACUGAGACACGGCCCAGACUCCUACGGGAGGCAGCAGUGGGGAAUAUUGCACAAUGGGCGGAAGCCUGAUGCAGCAACGCCGCGUGAGGGAUGACGGCCUUCGGGUUGUAAACCUCUUUUAGCAGGGAAGAAGCGAAAGUGACGGUACCUGCAGAAAAAGCGCCGGCUAACUACGUGCCAGCAGCCGCGGUAAUACGUAGGGCGCAAGCGUUAUCCGGAAUUAUUGGGCGUAAAGAGCUCGUAGGCGGUUUGUCGCGUCUGCUGUGAAAUCCCGAGGCUCAACCUCGGGCCUGCAGUGGGUACGGGCAGACUAGAGUGCGGUAGGGGAGAUUGGAAUUCCUGGUGUAGCGGUGGAAUGCGCAGAUAUCAGGAGGAACACCGAUGGCGAAGGCAGAUCUCUGGGCCGUAACUGACGCUGAGGAGCGAAAGGGUGGGGAGCAAACAGGCUUAGAUACCCU
rnacentral:rRNA from 2 species